GAGGUCCUCCAGGUUGUGGAGACACUUGACUGCCUCCUGCAUGAGGUUGAAUGAACUGCAUCACUUCAUCCCAUUGGCCGUCCAGAAUCAGCUGCCUGUUAAAACCAGCAGAAGGUCAAUUAUCGGUGUUCAAGUUUCUAGUCACGGUGGCACUAUUUUAGCGAGCAUGCUGAUGUGCAGCUUCCUGGAGUUGAGGAAAUCCAGGAUCAGCUUGAUCACCUCCGCC